UACGUAGGAUGCAAGCGUUGUCCGGAUUUACUAGGCGUAAAGCGCGCGCAGGCGGCACUCUAAGUACGCUGUGAAAUAUCCCGGCUCAACCGGGAGGGUGCAGUGUAGACUAGGGAGCUAGAGGUCGGUAGAGGGGGGUGGAAUUGCUGGUGUAGCGGUGAAAUGCGUAGAGAUCAGCAGGAACACCCGUGGCGAAGGCGGCCCCCUGGGCCGUACCUGACGCUGAGGCGCGAAGGCUAGGGGAGCAAACAGG
rnacentral:rRNA from 1 species